UCAACGGUGUUUCUAAACACCAUUAAAAUACUAACCACAAUAACU
rfam:Anas platyrhynchos breed Pekin duck contig84984, whole genome shotgun sequence.